rnacentral:rRNA from 1 species
GACGAACGCUGGCGGCGUGCUUAACACAUGCAAGUCGAACGCUGAAGCUUGGUGCUUGCUCUGGGUGGAUGAGCGGCGAACGGGUGAGUAAUACGUGAGUAACCUGCCCUUGACUCUGGGAUAAGCCUGGGAAACUGGGUCUAAUACUGGAUACGACAUGCCACUGCAUGGUGGUGUGUGGAAAGGGUUUUACUGGUUUUGGAUGGGCUCACGGCCUAUCAGCUUGUUGGUGGGGUAAUGGCCUACCAAGGCGACGACGGGUAGCCGGCCUGAGAGGGUGACCGGCCACACUGGGACUGAGACACGGCCCAGACUCCUACGGGAGGCAGCAGUGGGGAAUAUUGCACAAUGGGCGGAAGCCUGAUGCAGCGACGCCGCGUGAGGGAUGACGGCCUUCGGGUUGUAAACCUCUUUCAGCACGGAAGAAGCGAGAGUGACGGUACGUGCAGAAGAAGCGCCGGCUAACUACGUG